ACCAGUGCAGUGGUGUAUGCCUUUAGUCCCAGCUACUCAGGAGGCUGAGGCAGGAGCAUCGUUCAAGCCUAGGUGUUCUGAGUUGUAGUGAGCUAUGUUGAUUGGGUGUCUACACUAAGUUUGGCAUCAAUAUGGUGACCUCCUGGCAGCAGGGAACCACCAGGUUGUCAAAGGAGGGGAGAACCAGCCCUAGUCAGAAAUGGGGUAGGUCAAAACUUCAUUGCUGAUCAGUAGUAGGAUUGUGCCUGUGAAUAGCCACUGCACUCCAGCCUGGGCAACAUAGUGAACUCUGUCUCUG
ensembl:misc_RNA Metazoa_SRP Metazoan signal recognition particle RNA